rnacentral:rRNA from 1 species
AGCAGCCGCGGUAAUUCCAGCUCCAAUAGCGUAUAUUAAAGUUGUUGCAGUUAAAAAGCUCGUAGUUGAAUUUCGGGGUUUAUACGUUGGUCGGGCUUUUGGGUCUGUACUGGCGUUAUGAAUUCCUACCUUCUGAAUAACCAGCAUGCCAUUAAUUUGGUGCGUCGGGGAAGCAGGACUGUUACCUUGAAAAAAUUAGAGUGCUUAAAGCAGGCUAUUGCCUGAAUACAUUAGCAUGGAAUAAUGAAAUAGGACGGCAUGGUUCUAUUUUGUUGGUUUCUAGGAUCACCGUAAUGAUUAAUAGGGAUAGUUGGGGGCAUUAGUAUUCAAUUGUCAGAGGUGAAAUUCUUGGAUUUAUUGAAGACUAACUUCUGCGAAAGCAUUUGCCAAGGAUGUUUUCAUUAAUCAAGAACGAAAGUUAGGGGAUCGAAGACGAUCAGAUACCGUCGUAGUCUUAACCAUAAACUAUGCCGACUAGGGAUCGGACGAUGUUAAUUUUUAAUGACUCGUUCGCGCCUUA